rnacentral:rRNA from 1 species
ACGAACGCUGGCGGCAUGCCUAACACAUGCAAGUCGCACGAUGCCUUCGGGCAUAGUGGCGCACGGGUGCGUAACGCGUGGGAAUCUGCCCUUGGCUUCGGAAUAACAGUUAGAAAUGACUGCUAAUACCGGAUGAUGUCCCCCUGAGAGAUCUUGGGGACCAAAGAUUUAUCGGCCAGGGAUGAGCCCGCGUAGGAUUAGGUAGUUGGUGGGGUAAAGGCCUACCAAGCCGACGAUCCUUAGCUGGUCUGAGAGGAUGAUCAGCCACACUGGGACUGAGACACGGCCCAGACUCCUACGGGAGGCAGCAGUGGGGAAUAUUGGACAAUGGGGGGAACCCUGAUCCAGCAAUGCCGCGUGAGUGAUGAAGGCCUUAGGGUUGUAAAGCUCUUUUACCAGGGAUGAUAAUGACAGUACCUGGAGAAUAAGCUCCGGCUAACUCCGUG